rnacentral:rRNA from 1 species
AUACGGAGGGUGCAAGCGUUAAUCGGAAUUACUGGGCGUAAAGCGCGCGUAGGCGGCUUUGUAAGUCGGAUGUGAAAGCCCAGGGCUCAACCCUGGAACUGCAUUCGAAACUGCGGGGCUCAAGUCCGGGAGAGGAGAGCGGAAUUCCCAGUGUAGCGGUGAAAUUCGUAGAUAUUGGGAAGAACACCAGUGGCGAAGGCGGCUAUCUGGCUCGGUUCUGACGCUGAGGCGCGAAAGCGUGGGGAGCAAACAGGAUUAGAUACCCCGGUAGUCC